CAGCCGCCACGGUAAUACGUAGGUGGCGAGCGUUGUCCGGAUUUAUUGGGCGUAAAGGGAGUGUAGGCGGUCUUUUAAGUCUGAUGUGAAAGCCCACGGCUCAACCGUGGAGGGUCAUUGGAAACUGGGAGACUUGAGUGCAGAAGAGGAGAGCGGAAUUCCAUGUGUAGCGGUGAAAUGCGUAGAUAUAUGGAGGAACACCAGUGGCGAAGGCGGCUCUCUGGUCUGCAACUGACGCUGAGGCUCGAAAGCCAGGGGAGCGAACGGGAUUAGAUACCCCGGUAGUCCCUGUCUCUUAUAA
rnacentral:rRNA from 1 species